rnacentral:rRNA from 1 species
GAAAAACUUAAUUGUGUGGCGGCCUAGCAACUAUAUAGAGGGGUAUGUUUUAUAAAUCGAGAUUACACGUAUAUCUUAUCUAGGUUUGAAAUACAAUCAUUUUACACACCGCCGUCGGAAGAGCAAAUUGAAAUUUUUACUCUAUUUCCUUAAAUAGGAAUUAAGUCAGGUCAACGUGUAGAUAAUACUUAGGUCAAAAUGUAUCUCAAUAAUACAAUUAUGUCCUUCUCCUUUAUCUUGAAAUAGAUUAAGGUAAUUGAAUUUAUAAGUAAGGUCCCUUUAAAAUG